UUAAACUAAAGAGUUUGAUCCUGGCUCAGAUUGAACGCUGGCGGCAUGCCUUACACAUGCAAGUCGAACGGCAGCACGGAGCUUGCUCUGGUGGCGAGUGGCGAACGGGUGAGUAAUAUAUCGGAACGUACCCAGGAGUGGGGGAUAACGUAGCGAAAGUUACGCUAAUACCGCAUACGUCCUAAGGGAGAAAGUGGGGGA
rnacentral:rRNA from 1 species